GAUGAACGCUGGCGGCGUGCCUAAUACAUGCAAGUCGAGCGAACAGACGAGGAGCUUGCUCCUUUGACGUUAGCGGCGGACGGGUGAGUAACACGUGGAUAACCUACCUAUAAGACUGGGAUAACUUCGGGAAACCGGAGCUAAUACGGGAUAACAUGUUGAACCGCAUGGUUCAACAGUGAAAGACGGUCUUGCUGUCACUUAUAGAUGGAUCCGCGCCGCAUUAGCUAGUUGGUAAGGUAACGGCUUACCAAGGCAACGAUGCGUAGCCGACCUGAGAGGGUGAUCGGCCACACUGGAACUGAGACACGGUCCAGACUCCUACGGGAGGCAGCAGUAGGGAAUCUUCCGCAAUGGGCGAAAGCCUGACGGAGCAACGCCGCGUGAGUGAAGAAGGUCUUCGGAUCGUAAAACUCUGUUAUUAGGGAAGAACAAAUGUGUAAGUAACUAUGCACGUCUUGACGGUACCUAAUCAGAAAGCCACGGCUAACUACGUG
rnacentral:rRNA from 1 species